UUUCUGUUAGGAAUACGACAAGCCCCAAACUAGAGGUUUCCAACCAUGUAUCCAUGUGCCAGUUGCUUUUACAGAGCUUUUUAACAUUUGACGUAAACUGCUAUUUUCUCUGUGUUCAGGCACUCGUCAAAAUAUUUUAAAUUAAAAGAUUUUAGGGAAAAAUUCUUCUUAUGAAAAGCUCACAGGAACAUGCAUCAAACUGUGCUUCUUACUGGCAUGUAAGACUGAGGGCAGGAGGUUGCUUUGGAGCAGACUGCAGAUCCAAGCGGCCGCCUGGGGCCUCUGCCCAUUGAGACACGGGCCCAGGCACAGCCUCCACAAGGCAUGCCAGAGUCUGACAUCGUCCAGAAGAACAAAAGCAUUUUCUGGGGAAGACAAGGAGCACAUUUUAAGUGAGGACAAUUGCACUCUCCGGCAGUUGAACUGAGUUUAUUUCCAUCCACACUUUUUGGUUUUUCAAGCUGUCACUGCAGCACGAUCAUAGCGUUAACAUGGGCUUCAGCAGUGACCGUGUAACCAGGGCAGUGACUUGGCUGGCUCUGCAGGGGGAAGACCCGUGGACACUUCAACUCCCAGACUUUUGGCACAGUCUCCUACAACAUUCUUAACAACAAGCUGUAAAAGGAUGGGCUAGUGUAUCUGUCCAACAUGAGAGGAGUAUGAAAAAUCCACCCACACCUUCUCAGCAUGUGAGCUCCCCAGUGACCUCUGUUCUACCUAUCUCAAACUAGCAAUACCUUGCUAGCAGCAGCAGAACAACCUGUAAGUUCACAUCCAGUCACACAGAGGAUGCACAGCCGGUAUUGCUCAGACACAAGAGGAGCCAUUCCCUGGUCACAAGAGAAGUUUAUACUUCCAAGAUCUAUGUAGAUCUCUCCAAG